UCCCCGGUGGUCCAGUGGCUAAGACUCUGGGCUCCCAGUGCAGGAGUCCAGGUUCAAUCCCUGGUCGGGGAA
rnacentral:tRNA from 1 species